UUCCUUUACCAAAGAGCCAGCCCCUGGGCAACAAAGUGGAAAUGGAGAUCGUGAGCAUGCUGGAAAAAAACACAACGCUUCUCAAAUUCGGCUACCACUUUACCCAGCAGGGCCCCCGGCUUCGGGCAUCCAACGCAAUGAUGAACAACAAUGACCUUGUGAGGAAGAGGAGGCUGGCAGACCUAACCGGGCCCAUCAUUCCCAAGUGCCGGAGUGGCGUCUAGCAUGUGGAGGUGAAGACCAUGCCUUUGAACUGGACGUGCUUUACUGACUACCUAUGCUCUGCAGUAGAAACCAGAAGGCAAAAUGCCGGCACAAAACCCUUUUGUGGUUCAGUUCUUUAUGCACUAAGGUUUUAGAUUAACUAGUGGUUGUAGUUAAAAAUUUUAUAAGAUAUGGUUAAUGUGAAGUUUUUCUUUAGUCACAGAAGUUCAGUCUGAUUAUUAUUUGAAAACUUAGAAGCCCUCAAACCAGCAGAUCUUACUGAAGAUGAUGCUAUCUAUAGUGGCAGUGACUUAGUCCCAGGAGCCCAGUCUCAGUGGCCUUGCUGUGUGAUGUAUUAAAAGUGUGUAACACAAAAGCAAACCGUACACUCUUUCACAUGGUUUAGAAAUUAGAAAAUACUUUAUUACAAAGUUGAUCUUAUUCAGCAAAUAAAACAGAUUAUCAUUCUUUAUUAACCCUUCUUUAAAUUUUAAAACCCUCAAGACUAAAGUUAACAAAUUAAUUACUGGAUCAAGAACACAAUUUUCCCCUCAA